AACGAACGCUGGCGGCAUGCCUAACACAUGCAAGUCGAACGAACCCUUCGGGGUUAGUGGCGCACGGGUGCGUAACGCGUGGGAAUCUGCCCUUUGCUUCGGAAUAACUCAGGGAAACUUGUGCUAAUACCGGAUGAUGUCUUCGGACCAAAGAUUUAUCGGCAAGGGAUGAGCCCGCGUAGGAUUAGGUAGUUGGUGGGGUAAAGGCCUACCAAGCCGACGAUCCUUAGCUGGUCUGAGAGGAUGAUCAGCCACACUGGGACUGAGACACGGCCCAGACUCCUACGGGAGGCGGCAGUAGGGAAUAUUGGACAAUGGGCGCAAGCCUGAUCCAGCAAUGCCGCGUGAGUGAUGAAGGCCCUCGGGUCGUAAAGCUCUUUUACCAGGGAUGAUAAUGACAGUACCUGGAGAAUAAGCACCGGCUAACUACGUG
rnacentral:rRNA from 1 species